GAACAGGAUACAGGAGAAGGAUGAUUGAAUUGGAUCAUUGAAGCUGAUUAAUGACUGAUGAAGAGAGAGAGAGAGAGAGAGAAACUACUGCAGUUUUCAUUUCCACGCCUGCUUGACCACAAUCCUCAGAGCAAAGAGAAGAUUCAUCAAUCAGACCGACAUCUAAAGCCGACAAACAGGAGGAAAUUAAACGUGUAAAACGCACCUGAGCGUUACAUUCAUUCAUCCCAGCUAACAGAACGUUCUGGCAAGGUUCUCUAAAAGUUAUGAACAAACGUUCUCUGGCCUUUAAUAAUGUUCUCAAAACAUUAGCACAAAAGCAUUAGUUUUCAUACAUAACCUAUAUAUGAUGAAACACACUGAACUCAUGAGUGUUCACAUACAGCGCCUCAUAAUCAUUUACUUCAGUAUUUUUUAUUAAGAGAAUGAUUUUCUGCAGUGCAUUCGGACACUGAAGCCAUUCGCACUCAGAUGUGUGUAUCGACUUUGGUGACCAAAAACAGAAAAAAGUGAACUAUGGAGAGACUGAGAUGAGCUUCUGAUCUGUUGUUCAGACUGAAUGAGCUGAUAAAUGUUGAGAUGCUGCCCUCUAGUGUGCUGACAGUGGUGAUGCACCUCUGACCACUGAACUGAAAUGUUAUGGCUGGUUCUGCAACUACGGGCACUUUUAAGUUCCAGCAGUGAAAUUUAAGGUUUAUGUUCAAAUUUGUCAUCUAAAGCUUCAUAAUUAUAACCACAGUUUCAUUACACACAUUGACCUAAAAAAUAAUGAAUGAAUAAAAUGAUUUAAUUAAAAAUUAUGAAGCAUUUAUAGGUCCAAACACCAUUUUUGCUCAUGUCCCACACCUGUAGUUUCAACGCUGAGAUUAGCUACAAUAUGACAUUAUUUCAAAUGAAUUAGUUUAAUAUAAAUGUUACUUUACACCAUCUUAAAGUUCUUUUUUUGUUUACUAAUCAUUUAUAUGAUUUUUUUCACCUGUCCUACACUUUUGAGUGUAUUAGCAAAAACGUCAUUUCCGCAACACAUCUUUACCGCAGCAUUUUUAGGUGUUGCGGUAAAGACCUUGCGUUACGGUAGAGACAAAUUCAAGUUUUAUACUGUAAUCUAAAUAUAAAAAUGCCAUUUUUGCAACCCUAGAUGAUACCAAAUUCAUCUAGUAAGAUGACAGAAAUGCAGAGACAUAAUGAGAAAAGACCCUGACAGAUAUGAAUAGUUAUGGGAAAGAGCAUUAAAAAAAGCAGAUAAACUGACAAAUCAGAAAAAAAGAAACCAGAGGACAAAACAAAAUACUGAAGGCCUCAAAUUAGCUUUUCCAUAAUAUAAGUUCAUAAAAGUAUUAGCUUUUGAAACAAGAAAAUCAGUUUAACCCAGUCUUUCCUGCAGUACCUCUUUGACAAAAUACCUUCUGUUGUCUGUUACUGUUUUUCUCUACAGUAACCUAUUGUUAAGGUUACAUUAUUAACAUGCGUCAUUAAUAUUGUGUCCUUACCGACACACUGUCAUUACCACAGCAAUGAUUU